UGGAAUGAGGCCAAUCCUAUUUCCCCAUGGU
rnacentral:piRNA from 1 species